rnacentral:snoRNA from 1 species
AAUCCAUGCAUCAGACAUUUCUGAAUUAACUCUUUAAAUUAUUCCCAAGCUUCAUAUAGUAUUACAUCCUCUGAUUGUCGAAAAGAUGUAUGUCAUUUCUAAGCUU